AAUCAUGUGGUGGGGGCAUGCUUCCAGAAGAUUAUUGAAGCGCUCCCAGUAUUCAAAGAGAGUCUCAUUGUCAUCCUGAACAAUUGUAGAGAUAUCCUUCCUCAGUUU